CACAAAUGGCUUUGUUUUUAAAAGAUAUCAUCCUGAAAUAUGGCUUCUCGUUGCAGCUAGUGUUGUGACUGAAGUGCAGUGGAAUGUAAAACCAGCCCAGUUUAAAUGUUUUUCAUUUUUUAGCUCCUGAAAAUGGUUUUGAAGGUAUUUGAACUGAAAACAUAUUUCUUAAAAAAUUAAAUUCUUGAGGCAAAAUUAAUCUCUGAGGUAGUUUUUGGAUUUGAUAGUCUGCUCUCCCUGCAUAUUUGGAUUGUGCUUGUUGAUUAAAUGUGUGGCCUAUAAACAGGAAAAGCUGAGGAUUCAAAGUCAUGAUGUACAGGGUGGACCUGAAGAUAAUUUUGGCCUUCAUCUUUCACUUCCUUUUCCAGCUGGAUGUAGGGAAAGGAGAAUAUUGUUUUAAGUGUAGUCUUUUGCUACUUCUUCCUUCCUGAAAGUAAGUUGGUGAUUGGACCCUUUCAUGCCCCAGCUGGCCAAUUUACGAAGAAAGUCUGACUACCUCUGAAGACAUUGACUUUGUGAAGGCUCAUUGCAAGAGAGAUGAGGGACAGAGGGAUUGUGCGCGGCAGAAUCUUGACCAGACGGUUUUGGAGGUGACUAAAUGAGUGCUUGUCUGAAUGCUGAGCUCUGUGGAAGGCAGAGCAAGAGUGCACCUUCUGAUCUGUCAAUCCCAGCACAUGCUCUCUGAACCUGGACUUGGAUGCAGUGGAGUUGUCAGCAGACAGUGAGCUUUUUCUUGUGCAGAGGGAAACUCAGGUUUGCCAUUGUAUUUACCUAACCUGCUGGCUCGGUGGCUACUACUCUUGCCACUUUUACUCAGCCAUAGUCUGU